rnacentral:lncRNA from 1 species
GCCGACCUCGCCCACCUCACCUAGCCUUUCUGGCUAUUUCUGGUGCCAGGGUUAUUUGCAGGCUCACCCAGUCCGUACCAUUCAAUACCAUGGCACUUCAGCCAAUACACAUCAUGAUUUCAACAAAUAUCAUGAAUUUCAAUAGAUAUCAACAGAUAGCACACAUGCUCAAAGGGAGUACAAAAUCAGAUAAUUGAAGAAAUAACUCCGGAGAUUUAGAAAGCAUAUUGUAUAACUCCUGCUUACCUCAAAUUGAA